UACGUAGGGUGCGAGCGUUGUCCGGAAUUAUUGGGCGUAAAGGGCUCGUAGGCGGUUUGUCGCGUCGGGAGUGAAAUCACUGGGCUUAACCGAGUGCUUGCUUUCGAUACGGGCAGACUUGAGGCAUUGAGGGGAGAACGGAAUUCCUGGUGUAGCGGUGAAAUGCGCAGAUAUCAGGAGGAACACCGGUGGCGAAGGCGGUUCUCUGGCAAUGUUCUGACGCUGAGGAGCGAAAGUGUGGGGAGCGAACAGG
rnacentral:rRNA from 1 species